rnacentral:rRNA from 1 species
AUUGAACGCUGGCGGCAUGCCUUACACAUGCAAGUCGAACGGCAGCACGGGAGCAAUCCUGGUGGCGAGUGGCGAACGGGUGAGUAAUAUAUCGGAACGUGCCCAGUCGUGGGGGAUAACGCAGCGAAAGUUGUGCUAAUACCGCAUACGAUCUAUGGAUGAAAGCGGGGGAUCGCAAGACCUCGCGCGAUUGGAGCGGCCGAUAUCAGAUUAGGUUGUUGGUGAGGUAAAAGCUCACCAAGCCUGCGAUCUGUAGCUGGUCUGAGAGGACGACCAGCCACACUGGGAACUGAGACACGGUCCAGACUCCUACGGGAGGCAGCAGUGGGGAAUUUUGGACAAUGGACGCAAGUCUGAUCCAGCAAUGCCGCGUGCAGGACGAAGGCCUUCGGGUUGUAAACUGCUUUUGUACAGAACGAAAAGUCUUUAAUAACACUAGAGGCUCAUGACGGUACUGUAAGAAUAAGCACCGGCUAACCG